UGAGUAGCGAAAGACGGGUGAGAAUCCCGUCCACCGAUUGACUAAGGUUUCCAGAGGAAGGCUCGUCCGCUCUGGGUUAGUCGGGUCCUAAGCUGAGGCCGACAGGCGUAGGCGAUGGAUAACAGGUUGAUAUUCCUGUACCACCUAUAAUCGUUUUAAUCGAUGGGGGGACGCAGUAGGAUAGGCGAAGCGUGCGAUUGGAUUGCACGUCUAAGCAGUAAGGCUGAGUAUUAGGCAAAUCCGGUACUCGUUAAGGCUGAGCUGUGAUGGGGAGAAGACAUUGUGUCUUCGAGUCGUUGAUUUCACACUGCCGAGAAAAGCCUCUAGAUAGAAAAUAGGUGCCCGUACCGCAAACCGACACAGGUAGUCAAGAUGAGAAUUCUAAGGUGAGCGAGCGAACUCUCGUUAAGGAACUCGGCAAAAUGACCCCGUAACUUCGGGAGAAGGGGUGCUCUUUAGGGUUAACGCCCAGAAGAGCCGCAGUGAAUAGGCCCAAGCGACUGUUUAUCAAAAACACAGGUCUCUGCUAAACCGUAAGGUGAUGUAUAGGGGCUGACGCCUGCCCGGUGCUGGAAGGUUAAGAGGAGUGGUUAGCUUCUGCGAAGCUACGAAUCGAAGCCCCAGUAAACGGCGGCCGUAACUAUAACGGUCCUAAGGUAGCGAAAUUCCUUGUCGGGUAAGUUCCGACCCGCACGAAAGGCGUAACGAUUUGGGCACUGUCUCAACGAGAGACUCGGUGAAAUCAUAGUACCUGUGAAGAUGCAGGUUACCCGCGACAGGACGGAAAGACCCCGUGGAGCUUUACUGUAGCCUGAUAUUGAAAUUCGGCACAGCUUGUACAGGAUAGGUAGGAGCCUUUGAAACGUGAGCGCUAGCUUACGUGGAGGCGCUGGUGGGAUACUACCCUAGCUGUGUUGGCUUUCUAACCCGCACCACUUAUCGUGGUGGGAGACAGUGUCAGGCGGGCAGUUUGACUGGGGCGGUCGCCUCCUAAAAGGUAACGGAGGCGCUCAAAGGUUCCCUCAGAAUGGUUGGAAAUCAUUCAUAGAGUGUAAAGGCAUAAGGGAGCUUGACUGCGAGACCUACAAGUCGAGCAGGGUCGAAAGACGGACUUAGUGAUCCGGUGGUUCCGCAUGGAAGGGCCAUCGCUCAACGGAUAAAAGCUACCCCGGGGAUAACAGGCUUAUCUCCCCCAAGAGUUCACAUCGACGGGGAGGUUUGGCACCUCGAUGUCGGCUCAUCGCAUCCUGGGGCUGUAGUCGGUCCCAAGGGUUGGGCUGUUCGCCCAUUAAAGCGGUACGCGAGCUGGGUUCAGAACGUCGUGAGACAGUUCGGUCCCUAUCCGUCGUGGGCGUAGGAAAUUUGAGAGGAGCUGUCCUUAGUACGAGAGGACCGGGAUGGACAUACCUCUGGUGUACCAGUUGUCGUGCCAACGGCAUAGCUGGGUAGCUAUGUGUGGACGGGAUAAGUGCUGAAAGCAUCUAAGCAUGAAGCCCCCCUCAAGAUGAGAUUUCCCAACUUCGGUUAUAAGAUCCCUCAAAGAUGAUGAGGUUAAUAGGUUCGAGGUGGAAGCAUGGUGACAUGUGGAGCUGACGAAUACUAAUCGAUCGAAGACUUAAUCAA
rnacentral:rRNA from 1 species